rnacentral:rRNA from 1 species
UACGUAGGGUGCAAGCGUUGCCCGGAUUUAUUGGGCGUAAAGGGCGCGUAGGCGGCCCGGCGCGUCCGCGGUGAAAGCUCCCGGCUCAACUGGGAGAGGUCCGCGGAAACGGUCGGGCUGGAGCAAGGUAGGGGGUCGUGGAAUUCCCGGUGUAGUGGUGGAAUGCGUAGAGAUCGGGAGGAACACCAGUGGCGAAGGCGGCGACCUGGACCUGUGCUGACGCUGAUGCGCGAAAGCGUGGGAGCGAGUCCGG